CGACGCCGACGUACAAUUCCAUCAUCACGCUUCCGUCUGUCUGAAACCGCUGUGGCCGGGCGUUUUUUUGGGAGUCUGGCCACACUUUGCUUUGGUCUCCCACUGGUUGCUCACAGAGUUGUGGUGGUUACGCAGUCAUCCACACCCUGUCUCGCCACCCCCUCCAUCUAAAUAAAGCCCGCUGUUAAGGACAGAAUCCAAGUGAGAAGGAGUCUGGCUGGUUCCUUGUUUUCCCCUCAAAAGAAGAGGUGCUGGGACGCUGAGGACUGAAGGGGACUAACGUCGCUCUGUCUGCUGUUGUAAAAAGACACAAACAUUCACUUCUUUUCCCACCCGAGGCUGUUAAAAUAUCUUUAUUUCCUGCUAUAGAAACGUGUCUCUUUAAGACUGCUCCCUCUCUCUGCACCGUCUGCGUUCCUUGUUGCUGGCGUUGUCAAAAAGGAGAAAGUCACUCGGCAGCCUUUCGGUGCAGCAUGCCAAAGCUUUGACUGGGACGGGAAAAAACCUCCAACCUGCAACCCGUGAAGAGAUAGGGAAUGAGAAAGCCAGCGCGGGAAAGCAACAGUCUCAACUGUAGCUCAACAGGUGUCCGUGGUCGAGGUCUUUGCCACUAACUGAUUCCUCCGAGGCACCUGUGUGACACACGGUAACCGCUGGAGACGUUUGUGCCCUGCAAAAGGCUGAACAAUGAGCCUGGGUCGACUGGAUAAUUGUGAAACGUUGUCAAGAAGAAUCGAGAGGAACAUUCAAUGGCCUCUUUUGUGUCGCACCGCUGUUUGCAUUUCUAUUUUGGGUUGAAAACCGUUUUUGUUGUUGUGACCUCCAACACUUCCUGCAAAGGUCGCCUCACGCGCUAUUUUCAGAACACAGGUUUAUGAGAAAAUAGACAUCAUACGUGUCUAAUUUGAGAAGAUCCUGUGAAAUCUGUGGCAUCCGAGGCGAGCUGCGGGAGAGGAGGAGGGCACGACGUUAAUGGGCUGGAAGUGGCUUUCUGACCUCAUUUUGAGACAACGGUAGGAAAAGAAAUUCCAACGUAUGGCCUCUUCAACCCCAGAAUGGCUCAGGAGUAAAUCCCGCUUGGGAUUAGGAAUUUGUAGGCCUGGCUCCUCUUUCGAGGGUUUAGGCUUCGUACUGAAGCGACGGGAGACAGGCGAACAAAGAAAAAAGGUCCUCAGGGAGGUCCGUGAGAGCCAAACCCCCCUUACUACUGCCCAGACAAUGAAUUCCUCUUAAUCCAGUGGUGCUAAAUGGAAUGAAAUGAUCUGACACAUUUUAGGAAUUAUAUAUAUAAAUUCAGAGUCUGUUGUGCGUAUAAGAAGGACGAGCAUUCAAAGACAAUAUUCCGAUCUCUUUUUAUUAUCUGGAAGGAAACGCACUGCUCUGCAUUCUGCACGCAACAUCACAUUACCGGUACUUAGCAGCUGCACUCAUAAAUCUAUAUAUUGCAACAUAGUUUUUUAGAUAAGAUGCUUGUAGUCAUGCAAAUAGUUUUUCUUCUUCCUUCUAUUUGCUGAGAAUGUCUGCCUUUUAGUAACAUUUCCUUAGUCUCAUCUCUGAGAUAAAUUGGUGUAGAGGAAUUCAUAUUUAUUGGUUAAAACGAUUUCCACAUUUUACUGGUUGUUUAGACAGCUUUUUUCAGCCCGGCAGUGUGUACCAGCAUUGUUGUUUAGGUGUUUCCUGUGUGUCCGCUCACUCCUUUGCAUGCUUCUGGCCCUGUGUACGUAUCUUCUCUUGUUAUCACUCAUUUCUCUCUUUGGGGCUCUAUACAAACAUCAGUCUUCACCCAGGCCCAUCCUUUUUUAUCCUAUCAGCCAUCCGGUCCUGAUCGGAAAAAUAAUCAAACAGAGGUCACUGAGGACAUAUUUCUUUAGAACAUUUUUGGAGUGCUGCCAAUACCAUGUUUGUGCUUAUGUCUAUUAAGCAUCCUGCCCAUUUGAAAUCCAUUACGCAAUGGUUCUCUCGGUUGUUGCGUCCAGUCUCAUUGAUACCGACCCAGUAAACCGAGGCCGCCUGCAGCCCUCUCCUCUUCCCGAUUGCUUCACUCUCCGGACUGUGGAGGACGUCUGCCGAAGCCAUCAGCUCCUCAAGGGAACACUCAAGGUGAGCAUCGUUAAAGAAAGACGUUUUCUUCACAAUUCUUCCAGAUGUUGGGGGGGCAAUUAGUCCACAGGAUGUAACCUUGCUAUUUGAAUCCCACCCUCCCACACAACUAAAAGGGGGGAAAGAGGAAGAGGACGUUUGACCUCACAGUCCUGAGGACAGGUCCAAUCAGCUAACGUCUGAGAUGCAGAGAUGUGGGUGUAGAGCUCUGAAUUCCAGGGUUCUUUCUACCUAUCGUUCCUUUACAAGGUCCCUGUUUCUUUUACAUACACAAAGUAUUCUCAGAAGCUGUCACCAGAUCCCUCAGCUGCACGCGGACAGCAUGGCAAUCACAUGGGUGUCACACAGUGACACCCAUGUGAUUGAGUGAGGUGAAUCUGCUGCACGCAGGACCCGACAACUGCGCGAGAAUCGUGUAACAAACCGCUGUGAGGGAGUCACAGCUCGGGGAGGAGAUCAGAUCCACGUUUCCAUCGAACAAGCGGCUCACCCAGCAGGAACCUUUGAGUCGCAGGGCUCAGGUUCAGGGGAAUUCUCCUCAAAUCUUAAACCAUAGUUGUGACUCUGUCAUAUUCAGAAGAACAUUUCUCCUGUGCACGUUGAGGUCACAGGUCUACUUCACAACACACAAAGUAUCAACAACAACAAGAAGAAGCCGCAGCACCUGGACGAGCAGCCGGAGGCGGGAGAAGGAACAAGGCGUCUUUUCUUAGCUUUGGCUCUUACCAAAAAGAUGUGGCCAGUGAUCCACUACUGGACUCAUUUAUUCAAUGUGCAGUGCCAAUGCAGGAAAUAGCAACUGUGGAAAAUAUGUGAAAUUGUGAAACAGUUAUUUCCCGGAAUCUGAGUUUCAACUCUCAGACAGGGACUAUUACUUUUAGAACCCUUUGGAACAUUUUAAGGUUCUAAAUGGCUAACAUGUGUUAGCGCUUUGAAAGGCAGUUUUCCCCUGAAGCAACACAGGGAUGAAAUCUAAUCUCAUCUGCUGAUGAAAAAUUGCUCUCUUAACCUUUCAAACAGCGUGAUGAAGACCAAUCUGUGUAAAAAUGUGUUGAUAGAAAAUCAAACUGACCCGAAUUGGCCUCCUGUGUGUGUACAUGAUUUGUAUUGAAGAAAUAAAAACAAUCCUAAUGUUAUUGACCAUUAUGGGAAGUUAAUGAAGAAACAUGAACCGUAGCGAGACGUAUUUUCAGAACAAACUAAAACUACAUUUCUCCCUCAACCUUAAAGGGGUUUUUCCUGUGAGAGAAUGUGGUAAACAAACAAACCAUCCGGACAGACCACACACAGAUCCAAAUCCAUCGAUGUAUUUAUUGGUUUUCCCUUGACUAAUUGUCUAAGUAUGUCAGGUUGACACUUAGUAAUUAGCACUAGACACAAGCUUCAUCUGCGUCUGAUGAGAAUGCAAUUGGAUCUGCAGCUAUUGUUUCAAAAACAAUAACAGUUCCAACUUCUCCAGGUAACAAGUAACCCUUUUAAACAACGUUUAAACACGACGAGCUCCAAAUCCACAAAACCUGCCUGAAAAUGAGGAAAGUCGAUGGCCAGAGAGUCUGUGGAGCGAAGCUUUGCUGUGAUUGGUCCUGACUAUUUAUUCUUGGCAGCACCAAAUAAGCAAUUUGAAGAUGUCUUCUAGAGCUCUACAAAGCCGUGGAGGACAUUUUUUUUGUAGUUUGACAUUUCAUGCAAUAAUCAACCAAAUAAAAAAAAAAAAAAAAGUUA